GAGACUCAGAGUCGGGGAAUCACUGGAUGAAAGGGUUUACAAUAAUCACACCUUGAAAGGAUGUCUCUCCAAUUGCUCUUCUAGUGUCUCUUAAGCCCACUCCAAGAAAGUCUCUGUACCCACUACUAAGUCAAGGAAACCAAGAACAGAAACACACUUCACUUCUAAAUGAUGAAAAAACGUCAGCAGAAUGACACUAUGAGGGCAUUUUGCAGAACACACAGAAAAAUGUGGCAGCUUGUGGAAGAACUCUACUUAGUAGCCCUAACAUGGCCUGUGUUGAAGAAAUGCCAGUGAAGUCAGGGGAGAAGGCUGUGGUCAGUGCAGGAGCCUUGAGAAAGCUCCAUCAAACAUAUUUAUUUUAAUCUCUCGGUAGCAAAACUCUUAAUAUGUUAACCUUAAAUGGAUAAAAUAAAUGGAAAAGAAAAGCCUCAGGGGAUGUCUGUGACCAAGUCUGAGGCAACUGCUAAAACAAGAAGGAAUAAACAGUCUCCAGAAAAUGAGGACUAGAAGAACAUUUCCGGAAUUCGACUCCUUUUCACUCCUUUUCAGAACACAUUUUGUUUAAAACCAUCCUAAGUUUUAAAACUGACUAAGGUCAGGUUUGCCUUGGAACAAUACUGAUCGUGAUAGAAAACAUCAAACAGAAGGAAGGUUAACUCUCCGUAAUACAGAAGCUGCCAAUACAAAAUCAUAAUGUUUUUCUACCAAGCUAGAGGAUGAAUUGUCAACACUUGUUGUCUGAAUUCAAAUGCAGAUAUUUACAAAACAUCUGCCACUCAAGAACAAAAUAGGAUUAACAGGAACAAAGAAAGGCGCCACAGAUCCUUGAGCUUUUCAUCUUUAAAGUGAUGUAUCCUGUUACUUAUAAAUGUAAUUUGGGUGGUUUUUAAGCUUCUCAUUGUUUUAGAUGUCAAAAUGUGAAAUGACUAACUUCCUAAUCAGGCAAGAUAUUUUCCAAGUUGUUAAAAGAAGAGCCUUGGUGAUUGAGCUUUCCAGAAGAACCUGAAACUGAAAGGCUUCUUGGAUGACCAAUAAAAAAGCAUGAUUCUAUUUCCAUUAUUUGUACGAAAGCCAUUAGCAAAUCCACAACUGAGAACUCUCUUUAGACAAUUUAACUAAAGCAAAUCUAAUCUCUUUUGUUCUGUUCUGGAAAAGUGUCUUUAAUUGUACUUACAGAACAAGCAUAGAUGAUUCAGGAAAGCAUCAAAUUCCUAGAGUGUUUGCAUGCUUCCUAGAAGAGACCGUAUUUCAAGUAUUCUCCUAAAUUGGAAUUGAACAAGGGCCAAGACAAUGAAAACGGAUGAUAAAAUGCAGACUACCUUCAAUCUCAGCAAAUAAUCCACAGAGCAAAGAACUCUCUGUGCAGUAGUGUCAAAAUGAUUUUCAACAGGUGGUGUGGAGCUGUAUUUACUUAAGUUCAGUUCUUGCCCAAGUCUUAUUUAAAAAGCAACUUUCUACGUGUACUAAUUUGUAUAUAGCGAUCUAUUUGUUUCUGUAUGGGUUAGAGCAACCUUCAUUCCCAAUAUGCAUAGGGCAAUACAUUGUGUUUGUUGUUCAUGCAUGGGCAGAGACGUGACUUUGUGUCUGUAGCCUUUGGAUUCUGCUUGAAUUUCUUUUGAUUAUGUGACCUCUUAUGGAUCUGAACCAUCUUUAUUCCCAACAAGCAUAGGACAACACAAAUAGAGAAGUUUUGAUUGUUCCUGUAGAGGCACCAACAGGAUUCUGUGCUCCUAAUCUUAUAAUUCUGCUUGAAUCCUUUUGUUUAUCAGGCAUCCUAUUUCUGAAGAGAAGCAGAGGCAAAAUCCUUUCUUCAAGUUUGGCCAAGAAUUCUGUGUACGUCAUUUUAUUUUUGUAGACUUGAAUUCAGGCACCAAGACCAUCUAUAAAACUAUGGAAUGAAGUUUUAGCUCAGCUAACGUGAGAAGUUGCCCAAAAGAUUCUCCAUAGAAUAAUUUUAAUCCAAUAAUUGCUAGGGUUCUUUUGCAAUUGAUCUGUUCACAGUUUAUAUAUCAUCUAGAAGAAAGGAAAUAGUUUAAGUGGUAGGAAAACAUUGAGGGAUGUUAGACUUUUUAGAGACAUAGUUUAGACACAAGAAAAAAAUGAUUUAUGUUGAGGUUAGGCACCAGAUUUUAACCUGAAUUUACUUUGGAAUGGAUCAUGUGUAUCAUUC